UGGAGUAUAGCCAAGUGGUAAGGCAUCGGUUUUUGGUAUCGGCAUGCAGAGGUUCGAAUCCUUUUACUCCAG
rnacentral:tRNA from 1 species